GGGGCUUAACACAUGCAAGUCGAGGGGCAGCAUGGUCUUUUCUUGCUAAGGCCGAUGGCGACCGGCGCACGGGUGAGUAACACGUAUCCAACCUGCCGUCUACUCUUGGACAGCCUUCUGAAAGGAAGAUUAAUACAAGAUGGCAUCAUGAGUCCGCAUGUUCACAUGAUUAAAGGUAUUCCGGUAGACGAUGGGGAUGCGUUCCAUUAGAUAGUAGGCGGGGUAACGGCCCACCUAGUCUUCGAUGGAUAGGGGUUCUGAGAGGAAGGUCCCCCACAUUGGAACUGAGACACGGUCCAAACUCCUACGGGAGGCAGCAGUGAGGAAUAUUGGUCAAUGGGCGAGAGCCUGAACCAGCCAAGUAGCGUGAAGGAUGACUGCCCUAUGGGUUGUAAACUUCUUUUAUAAAGGAAUAAAGUCGGGUAUGCAUACCCGUUUGCAUGUACUUUAUGAAUAAGGAUCGGCUAACUCCGUGCCAGCAGCCGCGGUAAUACGGAGGAUCCGAGCGUUAUCCGGAUUUAUUGGGUUUAAAGGGAGCGUAGAUGGAUGUUUAAGUCAGUUGUGAAAGUUUGCGGCUCAACCGUAAAAUUGCAGUUGAUACUGGAUAUCUUGAGUGCAGUUGAGGCAGGCGGAAUUCGUGGUGUAGCGGUGAAAUGCUUAGAUAUCACGAAGAACUCCGAUUGCGAAGGCAGCCUGCUAAGCUGCAACUGACAUUGAGGCUCGAAAGUGUGGGUAUCAAACAGGAUUAGAUACCCUGGUAGUCCACACGGUAAACGAUGAAUACUCGCUGUUUGCGAUAUACAGCAAGCGGCCAAGCGAAAGCGUUAAGUAUUCCACCUGGGGAGUACGCCGGCAACGGUGAAACUCAAAGGAAUUGACGGGGGCCCGCACAAGCGGAGGAACAUGUGGUUUAAUUCGAUGAUACGCGAGGAACCUUACCCGGGCUUAAAUUGCAGAUGAAUUACGGUGAAAGCCGUAAGCCGCAAGGCAUCUGUGAAGGUGCUGCAUGGUUGUCGUCAGCUCGUGCCGUGAGGUGUCGGCUUAAGUGCCAUAACGAGCGCAACCCUUGUUGUCAGUUACUAACAGGUUCCGCUGAGGACUCUGACAAGACUGCCAUCGUAAGAUGUGAGGAAGGUGGGGAUGACGUCAAAUCAGCACGGCCCUUACGUCCGGGGCUACACACGUGUUACAAUGGGGGGUACAGAGGGCCGCUACCACGCGAGUGGAUGCCAAUCCCCAAAACCUCUCUCAGUUCGGACUGGAGUCUGCAACCCGACUCCACGAAGCUGGAUUCGCUAGUAAUCGCGCAUCAGCCACGGCGCGGUGAAUACGUUCCCGGGCCUUGUACACACCGCCCGUCAAGCCAUGGGAGCCGGGGGUACCUGAAGUGCGUAACCGCGAGGAGCGCCCUAGGGUAAAACUGGUGACUGGGGCU
rnacentral:rRNA from 1 species